UACAGAGGGGGCAAGCGUUGUUCGGAAUUACUGGGCGUAAAGGGCGCGUAGGCGGCCUUCUAAGUCGAACGUGAAAUCCCCGGGCUCAACCCGGGAACUGCGUCCGAUACUGGAAGGCUUGAAUCCGGGAGAGGGAUGCGGAAUUCCAGGUGUAGCGGUGAAAUGCGUAGAUAUCUGGAGGAACACCGGUGGCGAAGGCGGAUCUCUGGGCCUUACCUGACGCUCAGGUGCGAAAGCUAGGGGAGCGAACAGG
rnacentral:rRNA from 1 species